AUGUCACUCAAACCAGCUGUAUUAAGGAAGGUGCAAGCUUUUGGGAUUUCUGUUUGGAUUUAGUUUAGGUUCAAAAGAGCACGCACAGAUCCUGAGUGUUGUCAAGCACCCGUGACUGGGAAACGGAGGCGUCCGAUCCGUAUUGGAGUCAAUUCGCCACUUAAUUGAACACAGCCUCGAAGGGAAGGGCCAUAUUUGUGGGCCUGUCUAACAAUUAAGAGUGACCACAUGGAAUGGGGGAUGAAAGGGUUAAAGAAGAACAAAUAUUGAACACAGCUUUUCUAUGAACAAACUGCAGGCAGCUGCUGCUUUGCAAGGGGAACUUCUUGGCUGCCAUUUCUGGAUGUCAAGGCUGCAGAUACACUGGUCAGGACCCUGGGUAGAGAGAGAUGCGUCAGAAUGCGGCUCCUUUCAGAAAGGCUUCUCCGGAGGGACACUGACGCUAGAGAGGAAGCAGUGCUUUGAGUUUGCCAUUCUGGCAAUGUCCAAAUGUGGAAGACUGGAUAACAGAAAAACCCUUUGAAAAGAUUCAGCACGUUGCCAUGGAGAACAUCCCACUGAAGGAAUGUAUAGAAGUAGCAGGGUUAACUGAGUGCCUUCCAUCUUCCCUCCAAGGGAUCUGCAAUGAGAUGGGAGAAGGCAACAGGCUGUGUGGGAACCACUGAAGCUGGGAUGGCAGGGAAAGAACAUCUUAGGCUAACUCUUCAAGCCUUGCUGUCACAUUUGCUUUUGAGUCUAUGGUGUCAGCUGCCUACCAGUUGCUUUCAUCUCUAGAAAUCUGUGACUUGCAGUAUGACAAGAACAAAAGGUGACAAUACAAAGGACAAAGGGCAAGGAAUACAGACGGAGAAGCCGCUUAGAGUCUAGGAUGGCAGAGGUUCUCUUGAUCAUUUCAUUUUUGAGCGCUUGUAGAGCUUUGGUGUACCAGAGGUGCUUGAACAGCUUACCACACCACAGAUGAAUGGCCUUUGGAUUUCUCCUAAGAAAAUGUGGCUACCUGAAAUUCAACUCCAUUUUCUGGUCUUCAAUAUUUCUUUUGUGUUCAGUUUGCCAGCUGAGGAGAAGUGGCUAAGCAUAGCCUGUUACUGAUGCUAAAGCCCAAGUUCUGAACCUAACAACUCCAGCAACAUGAUCCUGUUUCAAGAGACAAAAAAGUGACUAAUGAAAGAAAACAAUUGAUGUGCUAUGUAGAGUUUAAAAGAAGGUAAAGAGAAUAAAUUAAAAGCAACAACUCUCUUCUUGA
rnacentral:lncRNA from 1 species